CCCUUAGAUGUUCUGGGCGGCCCGCGCACUACAUUGGCACUCUCAAUAAGUUCCUAGAUCUAAAACUUUGGGGUAUUCUAUUAAGUGGUGUCGUGACUGGGAUUAACCCUUGCAAUUAUUGGUUACGAACGAGGAAUUCCUUGUAAUCGCGGUUUAUCAGCCCGCGUUGAAUGCGUCCCUGCCCUUUGUACACACCGCCCGUCGCCCCUACCGAUGAAUCGUCCGGUGAAGUUCAUGGAGUGGUGGUUGUUCCAGCUGCUGUCGAAGUGAAAUGGACCUCACGAUUUAGAGGAAGGAGAAGUCGUAACA
rnacentral:rRNA from 1 species